CCUGGCGGCACUAGCGCGGUGGUCCCACCUGACCCCAUGCCGAACUCAGAAGUGAAACGUCGUAGCGCCGAUGGUAGUGUGGGGUCUCCCCAUGUGAGAGUAGGGAAUCGCCAGGC
rnacentral:rRNA from 1 species